AGUUUGAUCAUGGCUCAGGAUUAACGCUGGCGGUAUGCCUAACACAUGCAAGUCGAACGGAAUACUAAUUAAGAGAAAUCUCACACUAGUGAGAGGUUCUCACGAGUAGUAUUUAGUGGCGGACGGGUGAGUAACACGUUGGAACCAGCCCCGAAGUGGGGAAUAACUGCUCGAAAGAGUAGCUAAUACCCCAUAGUAUCCGGUUUAUCCGGAUUAAAGAUUUAUCGCUUCGGGAGGGGCCUGCGUCUGAUUAGCUAGUUGGUGAGGUAAAAGCUCACCAAGGCGACGAUCAGUAGCUGGUUCGAGAGGAUGACCAGCCACACUGGGACUGAGAUACGGCCCAGACUCCUACGGGAGGCAGCAGUGAGGAAUCUUCCACAAUGGGCGCAAGCCUGAUGGAGCAAUACCGCGUGCAGGAAGACGCUUUCGGAGUGUAAACUGCUUUUGUCGUCGAAGAUUAUGACUGUAGACGAAGAAUAAGGACCGGCUAACUACGUG
rnacentral:rRNA from 1 species